AGACCUCUCCAAUUUGUGAUUUGGUAGAGAAUAGGACUUCUGUUUCUGUACCUCUGAUACAAAGUUGAAUGCUUUUUGAAGCCCAUGUUAGAAGAAUAUGGAUCCUUUGCAAUAUGUAAUGUAUGAUUUCUAAUGCAGUGUGAAACCAGGGUCGGGGAUGAAGAUAUGGACACAUCUCAGCUUUCCAGGGAUGCUGUGAUGUGGGUGAGCAUGAGCUUUGUCUAUGGGUGAAUUGUGUCCCUCCAAAAUUCAUAUGUUAUGGUCCUAACCCCUAGUACCUCUGAAUGCGACUGUUUGGAGAUAGGGUCUUUAGAGAUGUUAUUAAAUUAAAAUGAGGUUAUUAGAGUGGCUCCUAAUCCAAUAUGAUUGGUAUCCUUAUAAGUAGAGGAAAUUUGCACAUGGCUGGGUACAGAGAAAAGUCAAUGUAAAGACUCAGGGAGAAGACCAUCUAAAGCCAAGAAGAAAGCCUUCAGAAGGAACCAACCCUGCUGACACCUUAAACUUGGCCUUCUAGCCUCUAGACUGUGAGAAAAUAAAUUUUUGUUGUUUAAGGCAUCUGGUACUUUGUUAUAGCAGCUUGAGCAAACUAAUACAAGUUCCAUUUGUAGUAGAAGCUGUUAAACAUCAUUACAUAGUCCAUGUCUGCACUCAACGAAGACUUGUUCCCACCAUUAAGACAAGCUGCUCCUUCUACCACUUGGGAGGAAAUCAGCUUAAGGAGAGGUGUUAGGUGAGUAACAGUCAGGGCAAGGGCCCCUAGAGUAGGGGCAGGAGAGAGGGCAGUGUGUGAAAGGAAGGGCUAAUUUUUUUUCUUGAAGGGCUAGUUUUUUUUUUUUUUUUCUUUUUUUCCCCCUAACAUUUUGUUUUUCUAAACUGAGGGCUUUUUUUUUUUUUUAAAGAAAAUCCUCUACUGCUUUCUUAUUACAAGAGCUUUACCUGUUCAUUGUAGAAAUAUUAGGAAACACAGAUUAAAAAAUGAAGAAACAAAAUAUAACUGUGAUCUCACCACUCAAAGGUAACUGUUCACACAUUCUUGUAAAUCUUUCCAGACUUGUUCCUAUAGAUACAUGAAUUUAUAUAAUAUAUAUAAAUGGAAUGAUUUAUUUUUUG
rnacentral:lncRNA from 1 species